rnacentral:rRNA from 1 species
UACGUAGGGCGCAAGCGUUGUCCGGAAUUAUUGGGCGUAAAGAGCUCGUAGGCGGCCUGUUACGUCUGCUGUGAAAUCCCGGGGCUUAACCCCGGGCGUGCAGUGGAUACGGGCAGGCUGGAGGCAGGCAGGGGAGAACGGAAUUCCCGGUGUGAGCGGUGGAAAUGCGCAGAUAUCGGGAGGAACACCGGUGGCGAAGGCGGUUCUCUGGGCCUGUACUGACGCUGAGGAGCGAAAGCGUGGGGAGCGAACAGG